GGACUUCGGCAGCACAUAUACUAAAAUUGGAAUGAUACAGAGAUUAGCAUGGCCCCUGCACAUGGAUGACACAUAAAUUUGUGAAACGUUCCAUAUUUUU
rnacentral:snRNA from 1 species